UUUCUUGUCGAUGAAGCGAAAAGUUCAUUCAUCUUUUCCGUAGUGAUUGACUAAUCACAGAACUGUAACCGUUAUUUUAAUUAUGACAGCUUUUCUUUAUGAGCAAUCGUGAUGCGUUACUAAUAUUGUUGAUGGUGAAUUACAGCUACAAGAUCGUCAGGAUCGGCGAUAGCCUUGGGUCCUUGCACCUGCGAGUUGUGAGGUGCGCGUACGCACUUUUUGCUCUAGUACAGGAUAAUACCACACUGGUUGGCUUGUGAAUCGAAGCAAAGCCAGUGCUGUCUAACAGAAUUAGAAUGUUUUAAAUCCAUCAGAAACUUCCAUAGAGGAAAUUAACCUUGGGAAAACCAAGGUAAAGAACAAAUAAAUUAUGCAUAAUUAUGUGUUGCAGCUAGAAAAUAAACAUAUAUGAUGAGGCAUACCAUAGCACAUCAUUAACUCAUAAUAUCACAGCUACACAAUAGAAUAGAUGCAUUACAAACAAUAUUUUUUGCUAUGUUUAAAAAAUGAAGAAAAUUGCAUAAAAGAGGUAUGGUAUAUAAUAUAAUAAUCUGUCAUUAUAUUUUCUUGGGUAGGU